CCUACGGGAGGCAGCAGUGGGGAAUAUUGCACAAUGGGGGAAACCCUGAUGCAGCGACGCCGCGUGAGUGAAGAAGUAAUUCGUUAUGUAAAGCUCUAUCAGCAGGGAAGAAAAUGACGGUACUUGAGUAAUAAGCCCCGGCUAACUACGUGCCAGCAGCCGCGGUAAUACUUAGGGGGCAAGCGUUAUCCGGAUUUACUGGGUGGAAAGUGAGCGUAGACGGCAUGGCAAGUCUGGAGUGAAAGGCGUGGGCUCAACCCGCGGACUGCUCGGGAUACUGUACGGCUGGAGUGCAGGAGAGGUAAGUAGAAUUCCUGGUGUAGCGGUGAAAUGCGUAGAUAUCAGGAGGAACACCAGUGGCGAAGGCGGCUUACUGGACUGUAACUGACGUUGAGGCGCGAAAGCGUGGGGAGCAAACAGGAUUAGAUACCCUUGUAGUC
rnacentral:rRNA from 1 species